UACGUAGGGGGCGAGCGUUGUCCGGAUUUACUGGGCGUAAAGAGCGUGUAGGCGGCCAAGCAGGUCUGUUGUGAAAACUGGAGGCUCAACCUCCAGACGUCGACAGAAACCGCUUGGCUAGAGUCCGGAAGAGGAGAGUGGAAUUCCUGGUGUAGCGGUGAAAUGCGCAGAUAUCAGGAAGAACACCAAUGGCGAAGGCAGCUCUCUGGGACGGUACUGACGCUGAGACGCGAAAGCGUGGGGAGCGAACAGG
rnacentral:rRNA from 1 species